rnacentral:pre_miRNA from 1 species
UGUUAAAAAUUUCAUUCACUUUCAUUAAAAACUGAUGUGGUUAAUGGGAUAAUUAAACAAUGAUACGUGAUGUGCUAGUGUAUUUCACGCUAACAUAUAAAGACUAGUUUUUUAUAGUAAAAAUUGAUGAAAUUUUUAACA